AACGAACGCUGGUGGCAUGCCUAACACAUGCAAGUCGAACGAAGCCUUCGGGCUUAGUGGCGCACGGGUGCGUAACACGUGGGAAUCUGCCCUUCGGUUCGGAAUAACAGUUAGAAAUGACUGCUAAUACCGGAUGAUGACGUAAGUCCAAAGAUUUAUCGCCGAAGGAUGAGCCCGCGUAGGAUUAGGUAGUUGGUAGGGUAAUGGCCUACCAAGCCGACGAUCCUUAGCUGGUCUGAGAGGAUGAUCAGCCACACUGGGACUGAGACACGGCCCAGACUCCUACGGGAGGCAGCAGUGGGGAAUAUUGGACAAUGGGCGAAAGACCUGAUCCAGCAAUGCCGCGUGAGUGAUGAAGGCCUUAGGGUUGUUAAAGCUCUUUUACCCUAGGGAAGUGAUAAUGACAGUACCUGGAGAAUAAGACUCCGGCUAACUCCGUGCCACGCAGCCGCGGUAAGU
rnacentral:rRNA from 1 species